rnacentral:lncRNA from 1 species
CAUCUACAAGGUAUUUUGCGGCUUUUGUCUUAUUCCUUUUGUGCUCCUGAUACAUCCUUUCUUCACAAGAACCUGUGUGAGUUCCAGCAAUGUAGACCUUGAAAGGAUUUGGUUCUUUUCUUUCAUUUUAUGCUAUUUAUACCUCUUCAACUGUUUCUGUUCUGGUACACCCUUGGCUUUCAAAUACAUGUACUAGUAUUCGGCCCUGAGAAUUCCUGAUGAAGGUAAAUUUAGAAGAAGUAGUAUACCGCUGUUCGAAAUUCAUAAAUCGAUUGAGGAAAACAACAUCCGGGUUACAAACUAAAACUGAGGGAAACGCAUUAAAUAUAAGAGAACUACGACACAACAGAAACAC